rnacentral:rRNA from 1 species
UAUGUGAUCGUCUCUUGCAUAUCAAUAAGCGGAGGAAAAGAAACUAACAAGGAUUCCCCUAGUAACGGCGAGUGAAGCGGGAAGAGCUCAAAUUUGAAAUCUUAAAGGGUUUCCCUUUACGAAUUGUAGUUUAAAGAAGUGUUUUCUGUUGAGGUUUUGGUAAAAGUUCUUUGGAAUAGGACAUCAUAGAGGGUGAGAAUCCCGUAUUUGACCUUUACUUUCAACUUUGUGAUACACUUUCAAAGAGUCGGAUUGUUUGGGAAUGCAGUCCAAAAUGGGUGGUAAAUUUCAUCUAAAGCUAAAUAUUGGCGAGAGACCGAUAGCGAACAAGUACCGUGAGGGAAAGAUGAAAAGAACUUUGAAAAGAGAGUUAAACAGUACGUGAAAUUGUCAAAAGGGAAGCGUUUGACACCAGUGUUGUUUUUCUGAAGAUCAAUUAAAGAACUGUUUAUGCUAAGCUGUUUAGACUUUAUCAGCUAUCUGUUUAGUUUUGAGCUUUUCUUUAAUGCACUUUUCAGUUAACAAGUCAACAUCAAUUUCUUUUGCUGUAAAAAAGCUUGAGGAAGGUGGCUUGAGAUUCGUCUUAAGUGUUUAUAGCCUCUUGCCUAUGCAGUCGGAGAGAUUGAGGUCUGCAGCGUAGAUCCUUCGGGGCUAAAUGCAUUUGUGCUAAGUUAUAAGCAUUUUAUAGACAACUUGUUGACUAUGAUUUGUCUUGUAGCUUACUCGCUUAUGUUAUUUUACCUACGCUUAGGAUGUUGACACACGCGCGUGCUCG